UUCUCAGCUUCGUGUUUUUUUCUUCCUGCCUUCAGCCCUUCCUCUGUCCCUCCCCCACCCUUUUUUUCUUGGCUUAUUGCCUCUAGCAAUGAUCCUCUCUGACAAAACUAUUCGGGUCCCAUGGAGCCCUUCUCUGGAUUAAGCCUCAACAUCGAAGCAAUAAAGAUUUGAAAGAAACCUAACUUUCUAACAGCCCAAGCUGCUUCUCUAAAUUAAUCCUGGACGAUCUCCACCCCCAUUAAAGUGCAGGCCUGAGAAAACUCAGCCACAGGAAUUUAUCGUUUGUGCCAUUCAACUCCUGGUGACAGGCCCCAUCUCUGUGGGAGCCUAACUUUGAUAAGUGCUAGUUAACAAACCCAGAUAAAUUGCAAAGGAACAGCUCUCCUUCCCCACCCCCCUUUUGUAAUUUUCCACUUCCAGGAAUCUGCUGAGAGCCCCCACCCUGCCCGGCCCCCAUCCCCCUUUUCUUUCUUCCUUUAAAAUGCUCCUCCCUCUCAGGGUAAACAGAAGUGGAGUUCAGUUCACACUAGGUCCUUUCCAUAUUUCAACAGUGUAUUUCUGAUGAAAAUCUGUCCUAACCCUUUAACGUCUGAUUUGUUCAUCUUUGACAGUUUUUGGCUUCAGGGAUGGGAUCAGAAAGCACUACUGGACUCUCGGACAGACAGACCUCCCCGCGGCAUAGAGACCAUUUUCUGAUCUCCAGUGCUCUUGUCCAUUUUGAUUUCUGGUGCUGCAGUGCUGCAACUUGGAUAGGAUAUGUUUCAUCACUGAAGACCAGACCACUCACUCAGGACCCUAAGUAUACACCUUUGGAGACUUAGUCUUCACCCCUGAAUGAAUGAUACAUUGAUGUGACUGGCUCCACGCAGGACACGGAGAACAGCAUUGCUGGGGACAUAUCCUGACAAGUGGUGACCUGGAUGUGACCAAAGUCCGAUGUGACCAAAGCCCAACGUGACCAAAGUCUGACGUGAUAGAAGUUCGAGUCUACACAACGAAGUGGCAACCACAGAAUAAGGAAAAAACAGAGUGCGCCAGGAGACUCAAGGAUCCCAACUGAAUGGUAAGGGACAGUGGACCCAUAUUAGACUCCACUGCUGUGGGAAUAACUCUAUAGAGAGGACAUGGGGAAUACUCUCCAGCCAGAGCAAAAGCAAUAUACUCGAGUAUUACAAACUCUAGUUUAAACUAAUGGAAUAGAACUCUCCACAAAGGCUCUAUUAAAAGUUCUUAUAGCUGACAGGUUUUACACAGAUGUACCUUACUCAUGGCUAAAACUUCAAAAUGAGAAAAGAAUUUUAAUUUGAGGUCUCUGUUUUGCUUGUUUGUAUGUGUCUUUGUGUGUGUUGUGCAUGUAUGGCAUUGCC
ensembl:lncRNA